GGGACAGACGUGAGAAAGUGGAAAGACGUGAGGACGCAACAGAGAAGUGAAAGAGCAUGGAGAGAGAAAGAGAGAAACAAAGCGCUGACACUGGAGUUAACUGAGUGUGCUGAGGUCUAUGCAAUGUUUUAGUCUGGAAAAACUCCUUUCCUUGACAUCACAGCCGGCUCAAACCCAGGCUAAAAUCACACAUAUGGAAGGAUGCUGAAUGUUUGAAUGUUCCGGGAGAACAUUCCUGAGGCAGAUAAACUUAAGCAGCCGGUGGUGAUGGCGGUGAGGAAAAACUCCCUAAGAGGAUAUGAGGAAGAAACCUUGAGAGGAACCAGACUCAGAAGGAAACCCGUCCUCAUCUGGGUAACAGCGGAUAGUGUGAAUUAAAGUUCAUUAUGGUGUUUAUAUGAAGUCUGUUUGUUGAACUAGUCCACUGUUCACUAAAGGAGACCUGAGUGUAAAACUGCAUGUGGUAAUUGCAGUCCCAAGGCCAUCGCAGCAACCGUAGUCCCAGCAACCACAGCGAGAACGUCCAUGUGGAAUUGAGGUCCAAAACCAUUUCCAUGGUACUUCAAGUGGUACCGUCCUCAGCAAUCUCCAGGCUGCACUGCUUGGGGUCAUCCUCAGUGGCAGAAUGUAGCCUCCAGUUGAUGAGAGCUCCAUCCAGAGGUAAGGCAUCAGGAUGGAUGAAGCAGGUCCGGAGAGCAGAAAGGAUCAGGAUCUCCAUAAUAUUAUGUGUGGCUUGAGAGAAGGAGAGAGGGAGAGGGAUGUAAAGAGAGGGAGAGAUUGUUAGGUAUGCUUACUAUCCCAUAAUGGAUAAGACUGUGUACUUUGUGUAAAAGAAAGUCUAUUCAUGGUAAGCUUGAGUAAACAAAUAUGUUUUCAGUAUCUCGGAUGGACACGCAGACAAACCUAGUGUCAGAGACAUAAAUUCUUGUAAUAUAUUCAUGUUAUAAGAAUAUUCAUAAAUUCUUGAAUAUAUAAAUAUUAUGUAAACCUUCACAGGACCCAAAAGCAUAACCUUUAGACUUUAAAUGGUCUAGGAGCCAAAUGUUCGUCUUUUUUAUUUUUAUUUUUAUAAAAUGUAUAAAAGCUGUAUAGCAACUGAACCCAAAUUUAAAGCUAAACCUAAAGUUAAACUCAAAGCUGGAUCUGGUUUAAAACAUUACAAGUGGCAGGAAAAUGCAUGAACACCUGAAUGUUCUGUGAUGGUGUGUGUGUGUGAUCAGGCAUUAAGUGUGGCUUUAUCAUGAGUAGCUGCUGGAUGUAUAUCUCAUUUUUUUCUCUCAUUUUAAUGGUAAUUAUACAUAAUGCCACAUAAUGAACCUAAAAUGGAGCUCCAGCUACAAAUGUCAGACAGUGACACUUUGCCUUUUUUACCACGUUUCUUUUGUUCCUGUAGACAGGUCACACUGUGCCUGAUAAGAUGAAGAGAUCUGAACCUUCUUCUUUUUUUGUGUGUGCGUGUGUGUGUGUGUGUGUGUGUGUGUGUGUGUGUGUGUGUGUGUGUGUGUGUGUUUCUUUCUUGUGAGCCUUUUAGACAUUUUCAGGGAACACUUAUUGCCAUGGCAACUUUGUCAUGUGCCUUUUUUUUGUUUGUUUCAACGCCAGCUGAGAUGUCUGGCUCUGGAGUGUACGUGUGUCUGUAAUAGUGUGUGCUAAUAUGUGUAGACUUGAGAUCAAGGAUUUUGCCGUGGUUCCAAAAGUGUGUGAGUGUGUUUGCACUAUAAAGUUAGAGCCCACAUUACCUAGCAUUUACAUGAAUAAAAAUGAGUAUAGACCAUAUAUCAUCGAUGUUGACUAGAUCAAUGGUCACCAACCCUGUUCCUGGAGAUCUACCUUCCUGAAGACUUUAUCUCCAAACAUAAUGGUGCCCACCUGACCAUCUAAUCACUAGUAGCCUUAAGAAGUUCUUGAUCAUCUAAAACACACAUGUGAGACUUUGGUUGGAGAUGAAAACUUCAGGAAGGUAGAACUCGAGGAAGAGGGUUCUGUGACCAAUGAUUUAGAUGUUUAUUGAUCAGCCUGCUAAUUCUAUCACAUUACGAUAGCAGGGUAACCCACAUUCACCACUGGACCACACAGUUGAACUAGAGCAGCUACUUUUGUACUGAUGAACUACUUCUCAUACUCAACACAAUUAUAUUGAAAUAUUAAUGACUCAUAACAUAAGUUAGCCUAAUCUCACAUAAACAUUUAAAAUCCAAAUAUAACAUUUAUGUUUUAACUAUGUUUGUUUAUUGAAUGGCAUUGGUAAGACAAACCAGCAGAUGAGACUUAGUGACUAGCGAGCUAUUAAGUUAGUCACAUCAGCUAGCUAAAUAAGGUUGUGUUCUGUUAACUACUUCCUUUUAACUACAGAGGAGCCUCUGGAAUAGAAAAAAGCAAAUGGGUGGCUGUGACUCAGGUGGUAGAGCGGGUUGUCCACUAAUCGUAGGGUUGGCGGUUCGAUUCUCAGCCCACAUGACUCCACAUACCGAAGUGUCCUUGGACAAGACACUGAACCCCAAGUUACUCCCAAUGGCAAGUUAGUGCCUUGCAUGACAGCUCUGCUACCAUUGGUGUAUGAGUGUGUGUGUGAAUGGGUGAAUGAGACACAGUGUAAAGCGCUUUGGAUAAAAGCGCUAUAUAAGUGCAGACCAUUUACCAAAUAAACGCAAAUAUGACGUUUUCCUCAUUUCAUUGUAGUAGUUUGUAAACAGUUCCUCAUUUGUAGGGAACAAAUUUUCAAUUUCAGGAUCCCAUUAGCUAGUUAAACGAUGUCCCACUUGGGCAGCUCAAUGACUUCGUUAAUGUCCAGUCACCUAGGUUUACUAUUUACCCAUUACAUGACAUUCAACAUGAGCUGGAUGACUGAAAACCUCAGAAAUCUUAUGAUGGAAUUGUCUACCCUCUCACCCCACAGAAUGAUUUGUUCAACGACUGACUCGCAUCUUGAGUUGAGUUUCCAGUUCUUCAUUUUUAAUUCCCAUCAAGUCAAACAUUUCUGAAAAAAACAAUAAAAUGAUUCUGAUGCUCGAUUACGAGGGGGAUUUCUGCAGUUAUUCACUGCAGUGAGAGUUAUGUCAUUAUCAGAGCAGGUCUUCAUGUCUUGUGAUGUUAGUAAGAGUCUCAGUGUGUCUUGUGAUGCUUUUGUAAAUAAAAGGACC